CCUCUGGUAGCUCAGUUGGUAGAGCGGUGGACUGUAGUUGGAAUGAAAGCAUAAAACAGAUAUCCAUAGGUCGCUGGUUCAAAUCCGGCCCGGAGGA
rnacentral:tRNA from 1 species